AGUGAACGCUGGCGGUAGGCCUAACACAUGCAAGUCGAACGGCAGCACAGUAAGAGCUUGCUCUUACGGGUGGCGAGUGGCGGACGGGUGAGGAAUACAUCGGAAUCUACUUUGUCGUGGGGGAUAACGUAGGGAAACUUACGCUAAUACCGCAUACGACCUACGGGUGAAAGCAGGGGAUCUUCGGACCUUGCGCGAGUGAAUGAGCCGAUGUCGGAUUAGCUAGUUGGCGGGGUAAAGGCCCACCAAGGCGACGAUCCGUAGCUGGUCUGAGAGGAUGAUCAGCCACACUGGAACUGAGACACGGUCCAGACUCCUACGGGAGGCAGCAGUGGGGAAUAUUGGACAAUGGGCGCAAGCCUGAUCCAGCCAUACCGCGUGGGUGAAGAAGGCCUUCGGGUUGUAAAGCCCUUUUGUUGGGAAAGAAAAGCAGCAGGUUAAUACCCCGCUGUUCUGACGGUACCCAAAGAAUAAGCACCGGCUAACUUCGUG
rnacentral:rRNA from 1 species